GCUGGCGGCGUGCUUAACACAUGCAAGUCGAACGCGCAGCAUUCUGUAGCAAUACAGGGUGUGGGCGCGUGGCGAACGGGUGCGUAACACGUGGAUAACCUUCCUUGAGGUGGGGAAUAACCCAGUGAAAAUUGGGCUAAUACCGCAUAACAUCGCGAUGGCACAUGCUGAUGCGAUCAAAGGCGCAAGUCGCCACAAGAGGGAUCCGCGGCCGAUUAGCUUGUUGGCGAGGUAAUGGCUCACCAAGGCAAUGAUCGGUAGCCGGACUGAGAGGUUGGCCGGCCACACUGGAACUGAGACACGGUCCAGACUCCUACGGGAGGCAGCAGUGGGGAAUCUUGCACAAUGGACGAAAGUCUGAUGCAGCAACGCCGCGUGGGGGAUGAAGCUUCUCGGAGUGUAAACCCCUUUCGACCCGGAAGAAUGCCCGCAAGGGCUAUGACGGUACGGGUAUAAGAAGCCCCGGCUAACUACGUGCCAGCAGCCGCGGUAAUACGUAGGGGGCCAGCGUUGCUCGGAACUACUGGGCGUAAAGGGUCCGUAGGCGGUGUAGCAAGUCGAUAGUGAAAUCUCUGGGCUUAACCCA
rnacentral:rRNA from 1 species